UUUCUUCCCUUCUCCCCAGUUUUUUAGUCAGUUAUAGAAUAUUUUUCUUGUACAUUGUAGACUAAGGAUACGGUUGGUUAUAGUAAACUGGGGAAUCUGGAUUUAAUGACAAGAAGCCACCUUUUCUUGACUUUGGGGAUUGUGUGAAUUAAACGGUGACUUUUCAACCUGGGUACAUAUCAGUAUAAUUAAGGAUAGGAAGGUCGAAUAUGAUAGGAUUGAGAAAUAAUUGUGUAUAUAUAAGGACCACUAAGCAGAACAAGUCACCCAAGUGGAGUACUCUGCUUUACCCGAAAUUUUUGUGUGCAUUAUAGGGUGUGUAGCAGAAUAUAGGGAGGUAGCUUAGAAUGUACUUAACAGCAGGGAUGUUGGCCCU
rnacentral:lncRNA from 1 species